rnacentral:rRNA from 1 species
CAGCAGCCACGGUAAUACGUAGGGUGCAAGCGUUAAUCGGAAUUACUGGGCGUAAAGCGUGCGCAGGCGGUUUGUUAAGACAGAUGUGAAAUCCCCGGGCUCAACCUGGGAACUGCAUUUGUGACUGGCAAGCUAGAGUGUGGCAGAGGGGGGUGGAAUUCCGCGUGUAGCAGUGAAAUGCGUAGAUAUGCGGAGGAACACCGAUGGCGAAGGCAGCCCCCCGGGCCAACACUGACGCUCAUGCACGAAAGCGUGGGGAGCAAACAGGAUUAGAUACCCGUGUAGUCCCUGUCUCUUAUAA